GUGCCAGCCGCCGCGGUAAUACAGAGGGUGCAAGCGUUGUUCGGAAUUAUUGGGCGUAAAGCGCGUGUAGGCGGCUUUGCAAGUCGGGUGUGAAAGCCCUCGGCUCAACCGAGGAAGUGCGCCCGAAACUGCAGAGCUUGAGUACCGGAGAGGAUGGCGGAAUUCCCCAAGUAGAGGUGAAAUUCGUAGAUAUGGGGAGGAACACCGGUGGCGAAGGCGGCCAUCUGGACGGAUACUGACGCUGAGACGCGAAAGCGUGGGGAGCAAACAGGAUUAGAAACCCCCGUAGUCC
rnacentral:rRNA from 1 species